UCCUACGGGAGGCAGCAGUGGGGAAUAUUGGACAAUGGGGGGAACCCUGAUCCAGCCAUGCCGCGUGUGUGAAGAAGGCCUUUUGGUUGUAAAGCACUUUAAGCGAGGAGGAGGCUACUUAGAUUAAUACUCUGAGAUAGUGGACGUUACUCGCAGAAUAAGCACCGGCUAACUCUGUGCCAGCAGCCGCGGUAAUACAGAGGGUGCAAGCGUUAAUCGGAUUUACUGGGCGUAAAGCGUGCGUAGGUGGCCAAUUAAGUCAAAUGUGAAAUCCCCGAGCUUAACUUGGGAAUUGCAUUCGAUACUGGUUGGCUAGAGUAUGGGAGAGGAUGGUAGAAUUCCAGGUGUAGCGGUGAAAUGCGUAGAGAUCUGGAGGAAUACCGAUGGCGAAGGCAGCCAUCUGGCCUAAUACUGACACUGAGGCACGAAAGCAUGGGGAGCAAACAGGAUUAGAUACCCUGGUAGUCC
rnacentral:rRNA from 1 species